UGGGGAAUAUUGGACAAUGGGCGCAAGCCUGAUCCAGCCAUGCCGCGUGAGUGACGAAGGCCUUAGGGUUGUAAAGCUCUUUUGGCGGGGAAGAUAAUGACGGUACCCGCAGAAUAAGCUCCGGCUAACUUCGUGCCAGCAGCCGCGGUAAUACGAAGGGAGCUAGCGUUGUUCGGAAUCACUGGGCGUAAAGCGCACGUAGGCGGAUGUGUCAGUCAGGGGUGAAAUCCCGGAGCUCAACUUCGGAACUGCCCUUGAUACAGCACGUCUUGAGUCCGAUAGAGGUGGGUGGAAUUCCUAGUGUAGAGGUGAAAUUCGUAGAUAUUAGGAAGAACACCGGUGGCGAAGGCGGCCCACUGGAUCGGUACUGACGCUGAGGUGCGAAAGCG
rnacentral:rRNA from 1 species